rnacentral:rRNA from 1 species
GACGAACGCUGGCGGCGUGCUUAACACAUGCAAGUCGAACGGUAAGGCCCUUCGGGGUACGACGAGUGGCGAACGGGUGAGUAACACGUGGGUGAUCUGCUCUGCACUUCGGGAUAAGCCUGGGAAACUGGGUCUAAUACCGGAUAGGACCAUGGACUUCACGGUUUGUGGUGGAAAGCUUUUGCGGUGUGGGAUGGGCCCGCGGCCUAUCAGCUUGUUGGUGGGGUAAUGGCCCUACCAAGGCGACGACGGGUUAGCCGGCCUGAGAGGGUGCCCGGCCACACUGGGACUGAGAUACGGCCCAGACUCCUACGGGAGGCAGCAGUGGGGAAUAUUGCACAAUGGGCGCAAGCCUGAUGCAGCGACGCCGCGUGAGGGAUGACGGCCUCGGUUGUAGAC